AUUGAACGCUGGCGGCAGGCCUAACACAUGCAAGUCGAGCGGAUGAAGGGAGCUUGCUCCUGGAUUCAGCGGCGGACGGGUGAGUAAUGCCUAGGAAUCUGCCUGGUAGUGGGGGAUAACGUCCGGAAACGGGCGCUAAUACCGCAUACGUCCUGAGGGAGAAAGUGGGGGAUCUUCGGACCUCACGCUAUCAGAUGAGCCUAGGUCGGAUUAGCUAGUUGGUGGGGUAAAGGCCUACCAAGGCGACGAUCCGUAACUGGUCUGAGAGGAUGAUCAGUCACACUGGAACUGAGACACGGUCCAGACUCCUACGGGAGGCAGCAGUGGGGAAUAUUGGACAAUGGGCGAAAGCCUGAUCCAGCCACGCCGCGUGUGUGAAGAAGGUCUUCGGAUUGUAAAGCACUUUAAGUUGGGAGGAAGGGCAGCAAGUUAAUACCUUGCUGUUUUGACGUUACCAACAGAAUAAGCACCGGCUAACUUCGUG
rnacentral:rRNA from 1 species